CAGCCGCCACGGUAAUACGUAGGUGGCAAGCGUUGUCCGGAAUUAUUGGGCGUAAAGGGCUCGCAGGCGGUUUCUUAAGUCUGAUGUGAAAGCCCCCGGCUCAACCGGGGAGGGUCAUUGGAAACUGGGAAACUUGAGUGCAGAAGAGGAGAGUGGAAUUCCACGUGUAGCGGUGAAAUGCGUAGGGAUGUGGAGGAACACCAGUGGCGAAGGCGACUCUCUGGUCUGUAACUGACGCUGAGGAGCGAAAGCGUGGGGAGCGAACAGGAUUAGAUACCCGUGUAGUCCCUGUCUCUUAUAC
rnacentral:rRNA from 1 species